UACGGAGGGUGCGAGCGUUAUCCGGAUUCACUGGGUUUAAAGGGUGCGUAGGCGGGCAGGUAAGUCCGUGGUGAAAUCUCUGAGCUUAACUCAGAAACUGCCAUGGAUACUAUUUGUCUUGAAUAUUGUGGAGGUAAGCGGAAUAUGUCAUGUAGCGGUGAAAUGCUUAGAUAUGACAUAGAACACCAAUUGCGAAGGCAGCUUACUACACAGUUAUUGACGCUGAGGCACGAAAGCGUGGGGAUCAAACAGG
rnacentral:rRNA from 1 species